rnacentral:rRNA from 1 species
AUUGAACGCUGGCGGCAGGCCUAACACAUGCAAGUCGAACGAGUGGCGGACGGGUGAGUAAUGUCUGGGAAACUGCCCGAUGGAGGGGGAUAACUACUGGAAACGGUAGCUAAUACCGCAUACCAUCGGAUGUGCCCAGAUGGGGUUAGCUUGUAGGUGAGGUAACGGCUCACCUAGGCGACGAUCCCUAGCUGGUCGGAGAGGAUGACCAGACACACGGGAACUGAGAGACGGUCCAGAAUCCUACGGGAGGCAGAAGGGGGGAAUAUUGCACAAGGGGCGCAAGCGUGAUGCAGCCAUGCCGGGGGUAGGAAGAAGGGCUUCGGGUUGUAAAGUACUGUCAGCGGGGAGGCGGUACCCGCAGAAGAAGCACCGGCUAACUCCGUGCCAGCAGCCGCGGUAAUAC